rnacentral:rRNA from 1 species
UACGAACUGUGCAAACGUUAUUCGGAAUCACUGGGCUUAAAGGGUGCGUAGGCGGCUGUUUAAGUAGGGUGUGAAAGCCCCCGGCUCAACCGGGGAAUUGCGCCCUAAACUGGACAGCUUGAGUGAGAUAGGGGUGUGUGGAACUUCCAGUGGAGCGGUGAAAUGUGUUGAUAUUGGAAGGAACGCCGGUAGCGAAAGCGACACACUGGGUCUCAACUGACGCUGAGGCACGAAAGCCAGGGGAGCGAACGGG